rnacentral:rRNA from 1 species
AGGAUGAACGCUGGCGGUGUGCCUAAUACAUGCAAGUCGAACGAGAUCUUCGGAUCUAGUGGCGGACGGGUGAGUAACACGUUGGUACCUACCCCUAAGUGGGGAAUAACUGCCCGAAAGGGUGGCUAAUACCGCAUAAUCCCGCAAGGGUAAAGCAGUAAUGCGCUUAGGGAGGGGCCUGCGUCUGAUUAGCUAGUUGGUAGGGUAAUGGCCUACCAAGGCGACGAUCAGUAGCUGGAUCGAGAGGUUGACCAGCCACACUGGGACUGAGAUACGGCCCAGACUCCUACGGGAGGCAGCAGUAAGGAAUCUUCCACAAUGGACGAAAGUCUGAUGGAGCAACACCGCGUGCAGGAUGACGGUCUUCGGAUUGUAAACUGUCUUUUAUAGUGGGAAUAUUAUGACGGUACCAUAUGAAUAAGGACCGGCUAACUACGCGCCAGCACGCCGC